UUGCUAGUCCUUUGAACAGUGUGCCUAAUUCUGCUGCUAUGAGUAAGCAGUUUUUCCCUCUUGCCACUACUGGAAAUUCCUCCAACAGUUCCUCCUCUUGCUCUGAUGAAGUACAUCUGGAGCUUGAGAAAGGGAGGAGGGAAUCUGAGAAAAGGAGAAGGGUUAUUGACCUCGAAGAGGGCAACUCCAAUAAUGAUCAGGAAGCUGGUACUCUUAGCCUGAAGAUUGGUGGUC
rnacentral:lncRNA from 1 species